rnacentral:rRNA from 1 species
GAUGAACGCUGGCUACAGGCUUAACACAUGCAAGUCGAGGGGAGACGACGGGGAAGCUUGCUUCCCCGGGCGUCGACCGGCGCACGGGUGAGUAACGCGUAUCCAACCUGCCUCUGACUGAGGGAUAACCCGUCGAAAGUCGGCCUAAUACCUCAUGGCAUCGUCUGCGGGCAUCCAACGACGAUUAAAGAUUUCAUCGGUCAGGGAUGGGGAUGCGUCUGAUUAGCUAGUUGGCGGGGUAACGGCCCACCAAGGCGACGAUCAGUAGGGGUUCUGAGAGGAAGGUCCCCCACAUUGGAACUGAGACACGGUCCAAACUCCUACGGGAGGCAGCAGUGAGGAAGAUUGGUCAAUGGGCGAGAGCCUGAACCAGCCAAGUAGCGUGCAGGAUGACGGCGCUAUGGGUUGUAAACUGCUUUUAUGCGGGGAUAAAGUGAGGGACGUGUCCUUCAUUGCAGGUACCGCAUGAAUAAGGACCGGCUAAUUCCGUG